UACUUUAUAAAGAAAAACAAGAUAAAACAAAAGUAGAUGGGCUGAGUUAUAUGAGCUGAGCGCUACAGCCUCUUAAUCGUACAUGACUCGGUCAGCAACUGUAGUGAUUCAUUCUGCCAUAUCCAGCUACUCAAAAUACAGAACAAACAAGCUUAUUAAACUGAAUCAUUCUAUUCAGCCACUUUCAGCAGCAAACAAAUGGCC
rnacentral:lncRNA from 1 species